GGGAGCAUAGCUCAGUCGGUUCAGAGCACCUGCCUUACAAGCAGGGGGUCACAGGUUCGAAUCCUGUUGCUCCCACCA
rnacentral:tRNA from 1 species